rnacentral:rRNA from 1 species
CACGUAGGGUGCAAGCGUUGUCCGGAAUUAUUGGGCGUAAAGGGCUCGUAGGCGGUCCGUCACGUCGGGAGUGAAAACUCGGGGCUCAACCCCGAGCCUGCUUCCGAUACGGGCGGACUAGAGGUAGGUAGGGGAGAACGGAAUUCCUGGUGUAGCGGUGGAAUGCGCAGAUAUCAGGAAGAACACCUAUGGCGAAGGCAGCUCUCUGGGACGGUACUGACGCUGAGACGCGAAAGCGUGGGGAGCGAACAGG